rnacentral:ncRNA from 1 species
GUAAAAGCUGUGAGCGUGUCCAGUAGGUGUUUAUAUACCAUCAGAGAGAGGCAUUUAUAAGCUGAGAGGUGCCUUUGGUUAAGAUAAACAUUGAAUUUCGCACGGGAGCUCCGAUCCUGAAACGUCCAGUAGGGACCGGCGAUGCUGCGCGUUAAGCAGAAAUGAGAGCCUGUACUUUUACAGGAAUUUGGGUGGUACCGCGGAAAUUUCACUUCGUCCCUUGC